CCUACGGGUGGCAGCAGUGAGGAAUAUUGGUCAAUGGACGAGAGUCUGAACCAGCCAAGCCGCGUGAAGGAUGACUGCCCUAUGGGUUGUAAACUUCUUUUAUAUGGGAAUAAAAUGUUCCACGUGUGGGAUUUUGUACGUCCCAUAUGAAUAAGGAUCGGCUAACUCCGUGCCAGCAGCCGCGGUAAUACGGAGGAUCCGAGCGUUAUCCGGAUUUAUUGGGUUUAAAGGGAGCGUAGGUGGAUUGUUAAGUCAGUUGUGAAAGUUUGCGGCUCAACCGUAAAAUUGCAGUUGAAACUGGCAGUCUUGAGUACAGUAGAGGUGAGCGGAAUUCGUGGUGUAGCGGUGAAAUGCUUAGAUAUCACGAAGAACUCCGAUUGCGAAGGCAGUUCACUGGACUGCAACUGACACUGAGGCUCGAAAGUGUGGGUAUCAAACAGGAUUAGAUACCCUUGUAGUC
rnacentral:rRNA from 1 species